rnacentral:rRNA from 1 species
GUGGGGAAUUUUGGACAAUGGGCGCAAGCCUGAUCCAGCCAUUCCGCGUGCAGGAUGAAGGCCUUCGGGUUGUAAACUGCUUUUGUACGGAACGAAACGGUCCUGGUUAAUACCUGGGGCUAAUGACGGUACCGUAAGAAUAAGCACCGGCUAACUACGUGCCAGCAGCCGCGGUAAUACGUAGGGUGCGAGCGUUAAUCGGAAUUACUGGGCGUAAAGCGUGCGCAGGCGGUGCUGUAAGACAGGCGUGAAAUCCCCAGGCUCAACCUGGGAAUUGCGCUUGUGACUGCAGUGCUGGAGUACGGCAGAGGGGGAUGGAAUUCCGCGUGUAGCAGUGAAAUGCGUAGAUAUGCGGAGGAACACCGAUGGCGAAGGCAGUCCCCUGGGCCUGUACUGACGCUCAUGCACGAAAGCGUGGGGAGCAAACAGGAUUAGAAACCCUGGUAGUCC